UACGGGGGGAGCAAGCGUUGUUCGGAUUUACUGGGCGUAAAGGGCGCGUAGGCGGCCACCGCAAGUCGACUGUGAAAUCUCCGGGCUUAACCCGGAAAGGUCAGCCGAUACUGCGGGGCUAGAGUGCAGAAGGGGCAGCUGGAAUUCUCGGUGUAGCGGUGAAAUGCGUAGAUAUCGAGAGGAACACCUGCGGCGAAGGCGGGUUGCUGGGCUGACACUGACGCUGAGGCGCGAAAGCUAGGGGAGCGAACGGG
rnacentral:rRNA from 1 species